rnacentral:lncRNA from 1 species
UUGGUGGCUUGUGUGUGAUGUUUUUUUCCUCCUGUUGCAACACAUCGAUUGAUUUAUUCAUGCAUCCAUUGAUUUACUCUGAAUUUUUUUCAGUCAUCAAAUAUUAACUGGAUUGACUCGUGGAUAUGCAGUGUGACAAGUCGUGUGAGAUGAAGGCGGUGAACCAUCUCAAUAUGAAGCCAAGUAUGUGGUGGAUUUGCCAUGGAUGAUGGUAGACCGGUAAGGUUUAAAGUUUGAGUUAUCAAAUUUUGUGUCACCGAGCUCCUGGACGGUCAAACCUAUAAAGUUCAGUUAAGAUUUAGACUACAUAUGGAUUUCUGUUUGUUGCCGACAAUGCUCUAAUCACGCUAACUAUGUGCAUGGAGUGUACUAGAGAUGAUGCAAAAAUUGCUUGCAGAUAGGCGGCUGGGUGCAUGAAUAAUUGUCAAGGUGACCGAAGCUAGCGCUAUUUUUGUUGGACUGAAGGAAUUGUAUAAGGUAUUUCGAGGCUCCCUGAUGGUGGAGAUCGACUACGCAGUGGGGAAAGGAGCUAGGGGUUGAUUUUGUAAGCAGAUCAUUGUCCGACCCAAUUAUUGUUGAUAUUAAAUCCGCCGAAGCUCCCGGAGACCUUAUGGUUGCGGAUGGUGUCGUGGACCAAUUACAUGCUCCGCUCUGGAAGGAAAACGAUGCAGCCUUGACGUCGGCCUAAGUCUUGAUGUAAUCCUCAAAAGAGAUAUUGCUUGCAGAUUGGUUAUAUAGAAACAUGCAUGUUGUAGGUCUGUUAAUUUUAGUUUUGGAAUAUUAAGAUCUGUUCAGAUGAUUUCCUUACUCUUAUGGCUAAAAAAUUCACAAGAUAGUGACUGAAAUACAUUGGUUUUACUCAACUUGCUGCUGCUUGAUUAGUACUCAAUCAAGAUGAGGGUGACCAUGAUAACUGGUGUUGAGUAUAGGUACAUGCACUGAAUUUUCCAUUGUGCCAAAACUAACACAUCAGAAUCUUUCAAUUUGGUGCUACCAUAUUUCAAAGUAAGAACAUGAUGAUCCACAGGAAUCUUAUUAUGUAGGCAUAUGUAAUCUCAGUUUUUUACUCUGUAUAAACUAUGAUAGGAGUAGGCCCACAUAAAUGUGUAUCCAGUUUUGCCUUCUACUGAUCUAUGACAAAGGGGAUGUGCUGG